CUGUACAGUUCAGAGUUUGAUCCUGGCUCAGGACGAACGCUGGCGGCGUGCCUAACACAUGCAAGUCGAGCGGAGUAAUUUCUUCGGAGAUUACUUAGUGGCGAACGGGUGAGUAACGCGUGAGAAACCUGCCUUUCAGUGGAGGACAACAGUUGGAAACGACUGCUAAUACCGCAUAAUGUUAUCGAGCGGCAUCGCUUGAUAACCAAAGCUUUAUGUGCUGAAAGAUGGUCUCGCGUCUGAUUAGCUAGUUGGUGAGGUAACGGCUCACCAAGGCGACGAUCAGUAGCCGGUCUGAAAGGAUGAACGGCCACAUUGGGACUGAGAUACGGCCCAG
rnacentral:rRNA from 1 species